UACAGAGGGGGCUAGCGUUAUUCGGAAUUAUUGGGCGUAAAGGGCGCGUAGGCGGCCCGAUAAGUAGGGGGGUGAAAUCUUGCGGCUCAACCGCAAGGCUGCCUUCUAGACUGUCGGGCUUGAGCACAGUAGAGGCAGGUGGAAUUCCCGGUGUAGCGGUGGAAUGCGUAGAGAUCGGGAAGAACAUCGGUGGCGAAGGCGGCCUGCUGGGCUG
rnacentral:rRNA from 1 species